rnacentral:lncRNA from 1 species
CGAACAGCCUAUCAGGUCUUGGGCUCAGCCAAACUUCAAGCUUCCAUAAAAAGCCCUUAGAGAGUCACUCUCUAAAGGCGAAAGACGUCAAAGUUCAGGGACAAUGUCCAGGAAUAGGCCAAAGAGAUCACAUACAGGGUGACUCCAGUGGGGCUUUGAUGAGCAGAGUACAUUCUAAUUCUGAGACAGACCCAGAACUUCAGCUUCGGGAUAUGUCUGGAAAAAUUUCAAAGGCUUCAUUGGUCAAGCAAUGCCAGAGAGAAUGUGAAAGUUUCCUGCAAGAACAGCUGGGAAGGAACACUAAAGAAAUUAGUAGGGGUGAGAUGUCUAGUGCUGCUGACCGGUCAGGGCAUUCUACAAACAUGGCACAGACUCCACCUGGGACCUCCCCCAGACAAGUGGCACCUUUGCUAAGUGAAGAAGAUGCACGGAAAGAACACGAGCACAGCUUGACGCUUAGUGAUAACCAAGAAAAGGUACUGGAAGAACACAUCACAGACUUCGGCAGGAGGAUGGCAUUCGGCCUUCCUCAAAGAGUUGAGGAAUCCCUAGAGUCCUACUUGACAAGAGCAGAGCCAUCUCAACCUUUCCCUCAGCUCCACACUCGAGCCCAUAGCGUUUGUACAGUGGAUUCUGACAAGCCCUCCAGAUUCCUUAGAAGAAACACUAAUGGAGAUAGAAAGGGGACAGUGGAUUUAGUCCCCGUCCAACACAGGCCUCUCCCUGCUGCCUGGCUUGCGGGCCACACACAGC